CAGUCGCCGCGGGAAUACGUAGGGUGCGAGCGUUAAUCGGAAUUACUGGGCGUAAAGCGUGCGCAGGCGGUUGUGUAAGACAGGUGUGAAAUCCCCGGGCUUAACCUGGGAACUGCGCUUGUGACUGCACAGCUAGAGUAUGGCAGAGGGGGGUGGAAUUCCACGUGUAGCAGUGAAAUGCGUAGAUAUGUGGAGGAAUACCGAUGGCGAAGGCAGCCCCCUGGGAUAACACUGACGCUCAUGCACGAAAGCGUGGGGAGCAAACAGGAUUAGAUACCCGAGUAGUCCCUGUCUCUUAUAC
rnacentral:rRNA from 1 species